GCCGCUGUGGUGCGAACGGCGAAGCCGCCGCGUUCUCAGCGCGGAGAUGCGGGUUCGAUUCCCGCCAGCGGUA
rnacentral:tRNA from 1 species